UCACGUAUGCAGUACUCUGGUUGUAGUAAAAAAUUGUAAUGUAUUUUAACAAUUUAGUUUCUAAUUACCCUGAACUUUAGAGUCCAGACGGUAAAUAGCAUCUUUGCUCGAUAAAUAACAUCUGUGAUAAUAAUCAGCGCAAAUUGUUCGCUGUUGAAAAAGGUGUUUCAUGUAGCAGACCAUUAAAUUAUUACUUUCUGUAUAUUCACUGGCAAAUUGGCAAUACAAUUUGUCUGCGUGCCGGAAACGCUUGCAUUUUCUGCAGGUAAAAAUACCUGACUCUGUGGACAUCGUGCCUGGCUAGUACAUGCAGAGUACCGUAACUGUAGUCUGUAGAUAUUAAAAAUUUGUGACGUUGGAUUAGCAAUCAUAAUUCUGCGACAGGCGUUACUGUUCCGAAAUGAAGUUACGCAUUAUGUUUCUCAUUUUCGCUUCAUUAUGGUGUUUCUCGAUGGGAGCUCCAACCGCGAUCCCGGACAAUGCAGGUGAUGAUGGGUCAGUCCCGGAAUCAGCGACAACCGCGUACCAGCAGCACGGCGGGACGGAGAACUGUGUUCAACAUUUGUUCAGCACUUCACCCGGUUAUCCGUCCCACUUCGAAGCCGCAAGUUCUUUUGGCAAUAAUCCAGGUUUUUAACAGCGAUCCUGGAAGAUCGAUGAUGCCCGAUACUGAACGAAUGCCAUAUAAAACUGUUCACAGUUAAAAUAAAUCUGUUUUCUUGUACUUAUGUACUUGUUAACAGGCCUGUUAAUAAGUAAUGUAUGCUUGAAUUGUACUAGUAUGGCAAAAAAAUACCGUGCAAGGAGAAGCCCAUAACCGCCAUGGGAAUAGGAUUAUGAAUUCCGAUGCAUAAGAUUUUGUGUGUUUCAUAUAAGUGUAGAAUCUAAGUGUAGAAUCUAUGUUUCAUAUAAGUAUCGAAUGGGUAAUAAGUUGAUAA